rnacentral:rRNA from 1 species
ACAACUUUCAACAACGGAUCUCUUGGCUCUCGCAUCGAUGAAGAACGCAGCGAAAUGCGAUAAGUAAUGUGAAUUGCAGAAUUCAGUGAAUCAUCGAAUCUUUGAACGCAUCUUGCGCUCCUUGGUAUUCUGAGGAGCAUGCCUGUUUGAGUGUCAUUAA